GGAUCAGACGUGAUUACCCGCUGAACUUAAGCAUAUCACUAAGCGGAGGAAAAGA
rnacentral:rRNA from 1 species